UGGGGAAUAUUGGACAAUGGGGGGAACCCUGAUCCAGCCAUGCCGCGUGUGUGAAGAAGGCCUUAUGGUUGUAAAGCACUUUAAGCGAGGAGGAGGGUACUGGUAUUAAUACUACCAGGUACUGGACGUUACUCGCAGAAUAAGCACCGGCUAACUCUGUGCCAGCAGCCGCGGUAAUACAGAGGGUGCGAGCGUUAAUCGGAUUUACUGGGCGUAAAGCGUGCGUAGGCGGCUAAUUGAGUCGGAUGUGAAAUCCCCGAGCUUAACUUGGGAAUUGCAUUCGAUACCGGUUAGCUAGAGUGUGGGAGAGGAUGGUAGAAUUCCAGGUGUAGCGGAGAAAUGCGUAGAGAUCUGGAGGAAUACCGAUGGCGAAGGCAGCCAUCUGGCCUAACACUGACGCUGAGGUACGAAAGCAUGGGGAGCAAACAGG
rnacentral:rRNA from 1 species